AGUUUAUAAAAGAGGAAAUUGAGACCUGAGGCACUAAGCCAUUUGCCCAAAGUUUUUAGUGGCAAGAACCACUUGUUUAUUUCAACACUUACUGAAUAUCUAUUCUAUCGCUGGCACUAAACACAUUUUGGAAUAAAGAGAUGCAAGACAUGGUUCCUGCUCCCUCCUCCCCCGGAGUUGUUCACAGUCCAGUGGGAAUGACUGCCCAGUAGGCAGACGGACAGAGUGACAGUCAUCUUGAUACACGAAGCCACAAAGUGAGCCCCAAAUCCGGAGAGCAAGAAAUCAGGCCUCACCUUGAAGGCAUUUACAGUCUAGAAAGACUGUUCCAUAAAGACCAAUUCCAUACUGUGAAAACUAUAAUUGCAUCACGGACAAGAGUGAAUCGAUGUAUAGAGGACAGAGCCCCAUUGAUUGAAGGGGACCAAUCUACUAAGUAUCUGCUGAAAGAAGAUUUGGAGCUCUGAAGACAACCCUUUGAAGCCCUGUGGCUCCUGGGACAGCGCCCCUCCUAUAGAAAUUGCCAAACUGUUUUCCAGAGUAGCUAUACCAUUUGACAUUCCUACCAGCAACGUGAAAGUUGAAGUUUCCAUUUGGUCCACAUCCUCGUCAGCCCUUGGAAGUGUCAGUUUUGUUUUUAUUUUUGGACAUUCUAAUAAGUGUGUAGUUGUAUCUUCUUGUGUUUUUAAUUUACAUUUCCCUAAUGACCAAUAUAUUGUUGAGCGUUUUUUUCAUGUACUUAUUUGCUGUCUAUAUAUCUUUAUUUGGUAAAGUAUCUGUUCAAAU
rnacentral:lncRNA from 1 species